GACGAACGCUGGCGGCAGGCCUAACACAUGCAAGUCGAACGGUAGCACAGAGAGCUUGCUCUCGGGUGACGAGUGGCGGACGGGUGAGUAAUGUCUGGGAAACUGCCUGAUGGAGGGGGAUAACUACUGGAAACGGUAGCUAAUACCGCAUAGCGUCGCAAGACCAAAGAGGGGGACCUUCGGGCCUCUUGCCAUCAGAUGUGCCCAGAUGGGAUUAGCUAGUAGGUGGGGUAACGGCUCACCUAGGCGACGAUCCCUAGCUGGUCUGAGAGGAUGACCAGCCACACUGGAACUGAGACACGGUCCAGACUCCUACGGGAGGCAGCAGUGGGGAAUAUUGCACAAUGGGCGCAAGCCUGAUGCAGCCAUGCCGCGUGUAUGAAGAAGGCCUUCGGGUUGUAAAGUACUUUCAGCGGGGAGGAAGGGAGUAAGGUUAAUAACCUUGCUCAUUGACGUUACCCGCAGAAGAAGCACCGGCUAACUCCGUGCCAGCCGCCGCCGUAA
rnacentral:rRNA from 1 species